ACUCUCUGGUCUGUAACUGACGCUGAGGCGCGAAAGCGUGGGGAGCAAACAGGAUUAGAUACCCUGGUAGCCCACGCCGUAAACGAUGAGUGCUAAGUGUUAGGGGGUUUCCGCCCCUUAGUGCUGCAGCUCACGCAUCAAGCACUCCGCCUGGGGAGCACGACCGCAAGGUUGAAACUCAAAGGAAUUGACGGGGGCCCGCACAAGCGGUGGAGCAUGUGGUUCAUUUCGAAGCAACGCGCAGAACCUUACCAGGUAUUGACAUCCUUUGACCACUCUGGUGACAGAGCUUUCCCUUCGGGGACAAAGUGACAGGGG
rnacentral:rRNA from 1 species